rnacentral:rRNA from 1 species
AUGUCCUCCAUCACGAUCUCGAAUGAAACUAUCCAUGGAAUCAUGCGCCGUGUGAAACGUAGAUCAUCGCCGUUCUUAACCGAGACUCAGGUUAAGCUCCGUCUCGGAACCGCCGUGGGGUUAGGAGUAAAGCAUCCCGAGGUUGGUGUGUGCGCUGGCUCCAAAGGACGGCCGGCAGCUCAUCGAGCCAGCAGCCGGCCGAAAGCUCCAGAGGCUCGACCAGUCAGGGCUUGA